rnacentral:lncRNA from 1 species
GAUCAUAUCUACUUCUAAUUUAAAUUCAGAACUUGAUAUCUGAGUGUGGAUCGAUGAUUAUCACUAUUGAAAAUAUGGUAGAGAGAGUCUUUUCUGGUUGCUCAUAGCCGUAUAUAUGUCCAUCCUCUACGAAAAGUCCACUCGAAGCUUCGAUCUGAUCGAUCUUCUCGGGAAUGCUAGCUAAUGCAAAGAUCUUCUUUUUGACUAAUCUGGAUCUUUUCUUUGAAUCUCUAAAAUCUUUUCAGAGGUUGAACAUGGACUUCUGGAGGAGACGAAG